UCACCAAGUGUUGGAUUGUU
rnacentral:snRNA from 1 species